GUGGGGAAUAUUGGGCAAUGGGCGAAAGCCUGACCCAGCAACGCCGCGUGAAGGAAGAAGGUCUUCGGAUCGUAAACUUCUAUCCUUGGUGAAGAUAAUGACGGUAGCCGAGAAGGAAGCCCCGGCUAACUACGUGCCAGCAGCCGCGGUAAUACGUAGGGGGCAAGCGUUGUCCGGAAUGAUUGGGCGUAAAGGGCGCGUAGGCGGCCUGGUAAGUCUGGAGUGAAAGUCCUGCUUUUAAGGUGGGAAUUGCUUUGGAUACUGUCGGGCUUGAGGGCAGGAGAGGUAAGUGGAAUUCCCGGUGUAGCGGUGAAAUGCGUAGAGAUCGGGAGGAACACCAGUGGCGAAGGCGACUUACUGGACUGUAACUGACGCUGAGGCGCGAAAGUGUGGGGAGCAAACAGGAUUAGAUACCCUGGUAGUCC
rnacentral:rRNA from 1 species